GCGGCCGCCGCCUCCCCCGUCCCGCCGAAGUUCGCGGAGGCCCUCAGGAAGGCGGCGCCAGGCGGGGCCCCGCUGGGCCGCAACCCCGCGGCUCCGGUGCCCGCCGGCCUGGCCCCGACCCACGGCCGCCGCGGAGGGCCCGCGGGAGCGCCUGCCCCAGGCCCCGGCCCCGGCCCCCGCAGCCUGCCGUCGUGCCACAGGGCGAAAAGCGUCGCCUUCGUGCUCAGGGAUCCGUCGGGCGUGUUGUCACCUUAAGGCCACCGAGAGAACUUCUGUCAACCUCGUUAGCUUUGUUUUUAACCCAUCGUUCAGGACACUCACGGGCAGUAUUAUUAGUUUGGACAGAAACCAGGCUGUGCUGGUUAGUAAGAACUAUGAACACAUCCUCCUCAGUAAUCAGAAUCUAUAUUAGAAAAGUUUCAGGUAGGUCCUUUUUUAUCUUUUUCUCCUUUUUCUCCCUCUCUCUCUGUCUUUUUUUUUUUCUUUUUUUCUUUUUUUUUUUUUUCCUGAACUGAUCUUGUGUUUGUUUCUAUACUUAAGAAGUAUCAACUGUUCUGAAAUUCACUUGGCUUCUCCAGCUUAGAACCUGUACACAGCUCUUGAAUGUUCUUUGUCCCUUGAUCAGUGUUACACUGAAUAUUGGAAAUGUAGAUUUUGAGAUUCAGAGUGUAAGCCUGUACAUAAACUCGGGAUUAGGAUCAGCUCUAAGGAACGUAUCUUGCUUGUGUGUUUCAUCAUUUCCUUGCUUCAACAAAUAUUCUGUCACUUAUUUAUUUUUUCUUACACUUCCUGUUCAUGUUUCCAUUGACUGGGCAGAUCUCCUCCUUGUAUUUUUUGCCACAUCUGCUAUAUUUCUGGUCAGGAAAUCCAGUACUCCUGAGACUUGUUUAUGCUUCCCUUCCCUGAGAAUUUUCCAUGCUAUCUUGUGUACCAUUCUUCUAGUGUUUCCUUACUGGGCCACUUGCUAGCAUUUUACUUGCUUGGACAGCUGUGCUAAUUACAACACCUGCUCCAGGAUUAUGCAGAUAUUCCAUAUGAUAUUUUUUUCUGCAAUUUCCUUGUUUAAAACCCUUGGAUAUUAGAUGAUUGCCUAUGUGCAUAUGCGGUCUAUUGUACAGAUAAUGAUCUGAGCAUGAGUGCUUUUUCAUACAGCUUUUACAAGGGCUUUUUUGCUUCCUCCAGGCCUCUGUAUCCUUGAGUAAAGACACACCCAUCUGCCUAUUACAUUCCUUUCCAAAUGACAUGUCUGUUCAAGGCAGUGCUCUGACAAUCUCGUUCAUGGUGAGAUCUCAUCUACAUUAACUAGACCACUUCAAUGAGACAGGAUUGCAUCUCAACAGUAAAUAUAUGCCCAUCUGUUUUAAAUGUAAGAGGUAUUUAUUACAGCUAGAAAAUUCUUCAGACAGAUACUAGUAUUUCAGUCGCACUUUUUACUGAACAGAAUGAUUAGCUGCUAUUGUACCACUUGGUAUAGCCCAAAGUAUCUUCAUUCACUAGUCUGAAAGUGAUUAAAAAUAUAAGAACAAAUUCUCAUGGUGUUGUUUUUAUUACUUUUUAAAAGAAGAAUAACUUCCUUCUUUUGGCACAAAGAUAGGAUAUGACCACCAGCACUUAAAGGAAAUGAUUCAAUAUGCUCAGGUCCCUGGAAGGCAAUGGCAUUUCAGUGGGUAUGGAAUUAAGUGACAAAGGAACCGAACCAAAAAUACGAUGUAGAAAGCCUCUUUAUCAUUACUUCUUUCUUCUAACUAUAGAAUCAUACAUCAUAAAAAUAUAACAGCAUACCAUUAUUUUAUCUCAAUUUCAUGUGCUAUCCAAAUCUUUUUGAAUUGUACAGUCAUUUUCUUGUUUAACUAAAGGAUUUAUAAAUGUACAGUCCUGCAAAAGUACCCUAUCUGUAGCGUUUCUUCUAGCAGCAAAUUCAGUCUAUACUUCAGUGGAAAGCCAAGCAAACAGAUCAGAAGAAGUAAGUGCACUUUCAAAUGUACCAUUAGGUAAUGAGCAUCUAAUGACUUAAAGAAAAUGACAAUGUUGACAUUUUUAAUCUGAAGCCAUCGCUGCUUUGUACCAAAGCCCAACAUACAUUAAUUUUAUUUUUUCUGAGAAAGACAGCAUAGGUGAAGAUCCAUGUAUGAUAUCUGUUAGAAAACUUUCAGGAUUUCCUUGAAAAAUCUGAUGGUUCCUGGGUAACUAAGUAACAAUUGAACACUGCAGACCAGGAAAAGUGUGUGGACUUCCUGCUGCACACACUUCUGUUUGGGUAUGUGCUGUACAAAGAGACAUUAAGUGGUGAUUAACUACAUCUACUUGCUUUCAUAUACUUUAUCAACGAACAGUCAUACAUAAAAAGAAAGCUUAUAUUCCUCCAAAGUAAAUAAGGGAGAACAAAAAAUAAAGUGAAACUAAAUACAUUACACAAAGUUUCACUACACAAAGGUAUACAUGCACUUAAUAGGCAUAUAUUUAAACUUAAAACAUCAUGUAGUUUGUCAUGCAAAUCAGUAUUUUUUAUUUGCAUUCAUGGCAAUUGUUUAUGGUUUAUUAGACAUUUUUAUAUAUUAUGCUAUUGCUGUUCUGCAUUAUGCUACUAUAGUUCUACAUUUACCUAAUUUUCAAGGGACUUCUUGCUGCAAAGGUAUACUUAAGUAAAUGCAUUGUGUUUUUUAACAAAGGCGUUGGUGCUUAAGAUUCUGUUUUUAUCUGUGUGUUCAAAACUAUUUGUUUAUCAGCUAGCUAACAGCUUUUAGACUUUGGUUGGUACCUCUGUACCUCCGUAGUAUGUAAUGCAUAGCCUAUGUAGCUAACUCUGAAGUGGUUUAUUUAAUACACAAACCUGGUAUAUAUUACCAAGUUUCACCAGAACAGCUAUGUCAGCGUAUCUCCCCAGCCAGUAUCACCAAGCCAGCAAAUCCUAUACCAUAGACAGUCUGCUAGAAAGAAAAAAAAAAAGCUCAGUUCACGUUGUUUUGUAAGUUAAUGUAAUUUUACUGGCGAGAAAGCUAUGUGAAUAUCUAUAGUAGAUGACUGCUCAGAUAUUCAUUUCAGAAACAGCUAUGCUAACCAAAAAAUUACACCAAUAUUUGUAUCUCAGAGGUUAUUCUCCUUACAGCAAAGUUGGUGGAAUGAGACAUACAAACACUGCUCAUCCACAUCCGUAUGAGUCAGUCAAACACUUGAACAGUUUGGAACAGUGAUCUGGAAAAACCUGUAGUGUCUAGUUUGCAAACAGCUGAAGCCAUGUCAGAUGUCACCACACUAGAGCUGCUUGUUUCAGCUUCCGUACUGAGGUUAUCAUGCCUCCUCCCAAGAAGAUAGUGGAAGAAAAUACACAGGCAUACCAUAAUUGGUUUGUUUCAGGUAGCUUAAACUACUGAUGAAAAGAGCUUUGCUAAUACAGCUGACUUCAUACUUAAAUGAAUUAGGAGACAAAUUCACAUUUGUGUAAAUGGUGGUAAUUUUGUAAGGAUAGUAAAACAGCUAGCUUUUAGAAAUUUAAGUUAUUCAAGACAGAUAUGGAAGAUGGUUUUUGUCCAAGUUCUAUGGGAUAAAUAAAUCCUAAAAUAUUCAUGUAAAAUAAACUGACACCUGAUCUACUCUGGGUGUUUCAGAGUAAGUGUCCAGAAUUGCGGAAAGAAAGGAAUUGUUUAACACAGUUAACAACCAGUAUGAUCUUACUGGUCAGCAUUCUGGAACUGUUAUGCCCAUCUGGCUCCCUAUGUGAACAUUGAUGAUGAUACCAGAAUAAUUAGCUAGUUAAUGAGACUAAAAUGCACAGGAGUAGUUAUAGAGGAAGAAAAACUCCAGCCUGCAAACUUCAGCAAGAGAGUAGCAUAGAGCAGUGUUGAGAAUCAUAACUGCAGGAAAAGUAUUAUUUUCUAGCAUAACUAAUUUAACUUGCAGAAAGAUUCAGUAAUUUUAUUUUAUUUUUAUUUAUUUUUUUUGUAAUAAAAACGGCAUGUACAUGGAGAGGAUUGUCUGAUGUAGAUUUUGUUAGGAAACAAAGCUAAUUGUUUAAUCACAAUCAGAUUUGAUAUUUUAGGGGAGUCUUCCAGUUUGACUUUCCUGUGUCCAAUAAAGAACACCUGUGAUUUGCUGUAGCUCUCCUGGGCAAUUUGAAACAGCCUAAAUAUUCUGACACCCUAUUACUGCUUACAACAGGUUUUGUGUAAGCAGCAGCUGAGGGCUUUCUCUAAAAUUUUCUUGAAACACAUAGCCAUGGCUUCUGCUACAACCAGACCUAAUGGAACAGAAGUUUUUUGGGUUAUCUUAUGGUAGACCUAUGAACACAGGAUGGUUGAAAGGUCAAGUAGAGCAGUUCCUCAACUUCUGCAGUUCUGGUAUUUUAAGUAUGUUAGCAAUAUGAGGAAUACUACUUUGAGUGUUCACACACAAACACACUUUGGAGUAAGAUAGAUUCCAUAAAGUGAAAUUCUGUUUUAUCCUGUUUACUUAAGUUUUCAUUUACCAAAAACCAAACGAAAAACAAAACUAAAAUAAAUAUAAACAAAACAAAGGAAAAUUUUUGACAAAGCAAUAAAUAGGCAAAGGAAAAGAGUAAGAUCAGUGGAAGGUUCUUACAUAUUUAAUGAUAAAAAAAUGUAUUUACCGUGUUUUGUAGGAUAUUUGGUUACUACAGUUAAUAUCUUAGCUUGAAUAUUAUUAAUUACAUGUUGGGAGAACCAGGAUGCAAACAUUUAAAGGGGUGGUCCUCCUACAAACUUCCAGUAAUUUGAUAAAUAGAUUGCAGGAUUGCCUGUCCUUAUGUAUCUAGCAUAAGUUGUGCAGGUCAUAGUGCUGAUGAUCUGGGUAAUUCCUAAAAUGCAUUCUAAAAUUCUAUUAACACAGUACAAACUGAACUUUUAUGCAUGUAAAAGCAGUCUGCUCAUUACUCAAGCUUCAGUACAACUACUGGUAAUGUUGAAAAACUACCAUAUUACAAAUAAAUCAAACCACAGAACCCUACACCAAAAAAUAGUGUCUUCUGUUGAUACAAAUAAUCUGACGGGUGAAAUUUCAGAUUUCAAGACAUAAGUGCAGUCCUCAAAUUGACACAAUUUACAUUUAUCUUGAAAAUAGAACAAGCAACAGUAUUAACAAAAAUUGUGCUGUAAUACGACAGACCCUUAUCCCAAAGCCAAACACAGAGUGACAGGAGACUUCCUUCCGUUUAUUUAGAUAAGUAAAAAACAACAGUUUUAGUCAUGGAGUUUUGCCAGGUCAUUCCUAAUCUUGGACUUCCCUUCCUAUACACUAUCCAUUGUUAAUAUUACAAAGUCACAGUAUAGGAAAUGGGCACUCUUAUACAAACUGGAACAAAAUCACCAUUCAUACCUUUUAGUCUGUACGUGGACACAUUUCAUCAACAGUAAUAUACUUGAAACAGGUCUAGUACAUUUCAAUAUUAAAUUCAA
rnacentral:lncRNA from 1 species